GCUCCAGACUCCUACGGGAGGCAGCAGUGGGGAAUAUUGGACAAUGGGGGGAACCCUGAUGCAGCGACGCCGCGUGAGUGAAGAAGUAUUUCGGUAUGUAAAGCUCUAUCAGCAGGGAAGAAAAUGACGGUACCUGACUAAGAAGCCCCGGCUAACUACGUGCCAGCAGCCGCGGUAAUACGUAGGGGGCAAGCGUUAUCCGGAUUUACUGGGUGUAAAGGGAGCGUAGACGGCUGUGCAAGCCAGAUGUGGAAGCCCGGGGCUCAACCCCGGGACUGCAUUUGGAACUGUGUGGCUGGAGUGUCGGAGAGGCAGGCGGAAUUCCUAGUGUAGCGGUGAAAUGCGUAGAUAUCAGGAGGAACACCGGUGGCGAAGGCGGCUUACUGGACCAUAACUGACGUUGAGGCUCGAAAGCGUGGGGAGCGAACAGGAUUAGAUACCCCAGUAAA
rnacentral:rRNA from 1 species